rnacentral:tRNA from 1 species
GGAGAGGUGCCCGAGUGGACGAAGGGGCACGACUGGAAAUCGUGUGUAGGGGCUAAAACCCCUACCGAGGGUUCGAAUCCCUCCCUCUCCGCCA